rnacentral:rRNA from 1 species
AGUGAACGCUGGCGGCGUGCCUAACACAUGCAAGUCGAACGAUGAUGGAGAGCUUGCUCUCCUGAUUAGUGGCGCACGGGUGAGUAUACCAUAGAUAAUGUACCCCUUAGUUCGGGAUAACCACUGGAAACGGUGAUUAAUACCGGAUACUCCUUCUCAUUAUAAGAUGAGUCGGGAAAGUUUUUUCGCUAAGGGAUCAGUCUAUGUCCUAUCAGCUAGUUGGUGAGGUAAUGGCUCACCAAGGCUAUGACGGGUAUCUGGUUUGAGAGGAUGAUCAGACAAACUGGAACUGAGACACGGUCCAGACUCCUACGGGAGGCAGCAGUGAGGAAUAUUGCACAAUGGAGGAAACUCUGAUGCAGCAACGCCGCGUGGAGGAUGACGCAUUUCGGUGUGUAAACUCCUUUUAUAUAGGAAGAUAAUGACGGUACUAUAUGAAUAAGCACCGGCUAACUCCGUGCCAGCCGCCGCAGUAAAAC